UGGGCUAUAGCCAAGUGGUAAGGCAACGGACUUUGACUCCGUCAUUCGUUGGUUCGAAUCGUUGGUUCGAAUCCAGCUAGCCCAG
rnacentral:tRNA from 1 species